GGGCCGGCAAGACCGUCAUAAUUACUACAACUGACAAGCCAACAAAAUAUACGUACAGGGCCUACAAGCCCAACAUACUGUACUAACUGACAGGAUAUAUAGCCUCUAUUGAUAGAUGUACUAUGAUUGGAACAGGACCCCGACCUACCCUUAACCCAUCUACAUAUAUGCACAAGGUGUACUCCAAACUGCUAGACCCGGCAACUCCGAAAGAGGGGGAGCUUACCGAUAAGGCUGAACUCGGGCAUACACCUACUGAGAAGGUCUACUCGUCUGUCUGUCUGAACCUGCACGUAUGAAAUGCAGCGCCCCAAGAAAGGGACGUCAGUACGAAAUAAUAUACCGAGUAUGUAAGGCAAUAUACUAAAGCUGAAACUUAACUGAUAAUAUAAUAACUGAAAACAACUGGGAGUCAAGAAAAUCUGAAGAUAUGCUCAUCUGCUGAUAUUGACUCAACUCUCUCAAUAUAGUGAGUAAAAUAGCUGUCCGGCCCUAUAAGGCUCAGUAUACAUAUAUAUCUGCUCUUCCGUAGUAAGCUCGGCUCGCUCAUAAGUGCUCGGCCAUACUAGGCUCUGUAUCUCGACCAACUGGGCUCGCUCAUAAGCGCUCGACCACAAUAGGCUCGGUAUAUAACUUACCAUCUUAUUAGAGGUUGCCCAAUAGAGGCCUGCCCAUCGAUUAUAGCUCGAUAGUAAUGAAAAUACUUUUAAUACUGUAUAUAUGUAAACUCUCUACUCUUUUGACCGGAAGAAGGAAAUACUCAACUGAAUAUGCAGUCCCGAUAAGAAGAAUAUGGUAACUUACAAAACUAGAAAAAUAUAUGUAAUUUGCAAGACUAGCAAAAUAUACGUAAAUUCUGGAUACGAAUUUUUCUUUAUGCCUCGUUAUCAGACUUGUGUAAUUACGAUAUCAUGCUAAAAUGAAGGAAAAACUUAGCCUUAACAUACCUGUUCCUAGAAUUUAUUUGAACAAAAUGAAGCUUUCUGCUUCUUGCAAAAUACGAACGAACCUAGGCUUGGAUUGAACAAAAUUGUUGUUGUUCUUUGAAUUCCAAUCGAACUUUGGCUAAAUAAUUUGGACGAAAGCAACUUCUGUUCCAAGAUCUUGGAUUUUAAAAUCCAAGGCAGAAUGUUGUUUAACCUAAGGAAUUUGGACGAAAUGGAUUUGGCUAAGGAAUCUCUUUCCAAGUUAAUCCAAGGCAGAAUGUUGUUUAACCUAAGGAAUUUUGGACGAAAUGGAAAUACUUCUUGGCUUAAAUGCCAAAGUAAUGC
rnacentral:lncRNA from 1 species